GACACCAUAGCCAAGUGGUUACGGCGACAGAUUCGAAUGCUUACAGCAUGAUAUCUGUUGGGCUCUGCCCGCGUAGGUUCAAAUCCUGCUGGUGUCG
rfam:Heterobasidion irregulare TC 32-1 unplaced genomic scaffold scaffold_07, whole genome shotgun sequence.